GCCUAACACAUGCAAGUCGAGGGGCAGCACUGGCGAGUAGCAAUACUUGCCUGGUGGCGACCGGCGGAUGGGUGAGUAACACGUAUGCAACCUGCCUACAACAAGGGCAUAACUCCGGGAAAUCGGUGCUAAUUCCCUAUAACACAGGGGCCCCGCAUGGGGAUAUUUGUUAAAGAUUAAUCGGUUGUAGAUGGGCAUGCGUUCCAUUAGCUAGUUGGUGAGGUAAUGGCUCACCAAGGCAACGAUGGAUAGGGGAACUGAGAGGUUUAUCCCCCACACUGGUACUGAGACACGGACCAGACUCCUACGGGAGGCAGCAGUGAGGAAUAUUGGUCAAUGAGCGCGAGCUUGAACCAGCCACGUCGCGUGCAGGAAGACGGUCCUAUGGAUUGUAAACUGCUUUUACACAGGAAUAAAGUGAGAUACGGGAUAUUUUAUUGCAAGUACUGUGAGAAUAAGGAUCGGCUAACUCCGUGCCAGCAGCCGCGGUAAUACGGAGGAUCCGAGCGUUAUCCGGAUUUAUUGGGUUUAAAGGGUGCGUAGGCGGACUAGUAAGUCAGCGGUGAAAUUUUGCAGCUUAACUGUAAACGUGCCGUUGAAACUGUUAGUCUUGAGUGUAGAUAAGGUAGGCGGAAUGUGUUGUGUAGCGGUGAAAUGCAUAGAUAUGACACAGAACACCGAUUGCGAAGGCAGCACACUAAGUCAUUAUUGACGCUGAGGCACGAAAGUGUGGGGAUCAAACAGGGUUAGAAUACCCUGGUAGUUCCACACCGUAAACGAGGAUAACUCGCUGUCGGCGAUACACAGUCGGUGGCCAAGCGAAAGCAUUAAGUUAUCCACCUGGGGAGUACGACCGCAAGGUUGAAACUCAAAGGAAUUGACGGGGGCCCGCACAAGCGGAGGAACAUGUGGUUUAAUUCGAUGAUACGCGAGGAACCUUACCCGGGCUCGAACGGUGCAUGAAUAUACGAGAGAUUGUAUAGUCCUUCGGGACAUGUAUCGAGGUGCUGCAUGGUUGUCGUCAGCUCGUGCCGUGAGGUGUCGGCUUAAGUGCCAUAACGAGCGCAACCCUUGUCAUUAGUUGCCAUCAGGUCAAGCUGGGGACUUUAAUGAGACUGCCACCGUAAGGUGUGAGGAAGGGGGGGGAUGACGUCAAAUCAGCACGGCCCUUAUGUCCGGGGCGACACACGUGUUACAAUGGGAGGUACAGAGGGCAGCUAUCCGGUGACGGAAUGCUAAUCUCCAAAACCUUUCUCAGUUCGGAUUGGAGUCUGCAACUCGACUCCAUGAAGGUGGAUUCGCUAGUAAUCGCGCAUCAGCCAUGGCGCGGUGAAUACGUUCCCGGG
rnacentral:rRNA from 1 species